rnacentral:rRNA from 1 species
UACGGGGGGGGCAAGCGUUGUUCGGAAUUACUGGGCGUAAAGGGCUCGUAGGCGGCCAACUAAGUCAUACGUGAAAUCCCUCGGCUUAACCGGGGAACUGCGUCUGAUACUGGAUGGCUUGAGUUCGGGAGAGGGAUGCGGAAUUCCAGGUGUAGCAGUGAAAUGCGUAGAGAUCGGGAGGAACAUCUGUGGCGAAGGCGACUGCCUGGACCAGCACUGACACUGAGGCACGAAAGCGUGGGGAGCAAACAGG